CAGUCGCCACGGUAAUACAGAGGGUGCGAGCGUUAAUCGGAUUUACUGGGCGUAAAGCGUGCGUAGGCGGCUUUUUAAGUCGGAUGUGAAAUCCCUGAGCUUAACUUAGGAAUUGCAUUCGAUACUGGGAAGCUAGAGUAUGGGAGAGGAUGGUAGAAUUCCAGGUGUAGCGGUGAAAUGCGUAGAGAUCUGGAGGAAUACCGAUGGCGAAGGCAGCCAUCUGGCCUAAUACUGACGCUGAGGUACGAAAGCAUGGGGAGCAAACAGGAUUAGAUACCCCGGUAGUCCCUGUCUCUUAUAA
rnacentral:rRNA from 1 species